rnacentral:pre_miRNA from 1 species
AGCCCUUUAUAUCCGUGUUGAGAUUUCGUCAGAUAUCAACCCGCUGGGGCUGAUGAUACUUCCCAAAUAAAUGAAGCA